rnacentral:rRNA from 1 species
AAAAACAUGGCUCUUUGGUUACAUAAAUAUAGGGAGUCGAGCCUGCCCGGUGAAAAUUUUUAACGGCCGCGGUACUCUAACCGUGCAAAGGUAGCAUAAUCAUUUGCCUUAUAAUUGAAGGCUCGUAUGAAUGGUUUGACGAGAACAACACUGUCUCCUUUUUAUUUUCAAGAAUUUAACUUUUAGGUGAAGAGGCCUAAAUUUUAUUGAAGGACAAGAAGACCCUGUCGAGCUUAAAAGAUAUCAUAGAGCCUUAUAUACCUUUAAAUAAAUUUUCUAUUAAAGCUUUUUAGUUGGGGCGACUAAGGAACAAAAAAAGCUUCUUGUUAAUAGUAGACAGUCAUGUUUAGAUCCAAUAAAUAAUUGAUCAAAGAAAUUAGUUACCGCAGGGAUAACAGCAUAAUCUCUCUUGAGAGAUCUAAUCGAAAGAGGGGGUUGUGACCUCGAUGUUGGACUAGAAUAUCCUAAAGAUGCAGAAGUCUUUAAGGGUUGGUCUGUUCGACCAUUAAAAUUCUACGUGAUCUGA